UGAAAAAAAUCUCCUAUGUGGAGAUAGAUUUGUACGCUUUUAUUUACAUUAAUCUGCGAAAGAAAAUACACGUCGUGCUCAGUUGUUGAAGUGGCUUUCUUCCCAGUACUUCAGAGCACACAUAACGUCUAAAACGUAAAAAAAACCAUGUGAAAGAAAUACCAAACAACAUUUUGCAGGGAUUUAGAGGUCAUUAGUGAAAAAGGAAGAAAGGAAAUGGGUACAUCUAAUUUUAAAUGAAAUAACAAGAAUAGUUGAAUAAUUAACAACCAAGCAGCACUCAGCAAUAGUGAUGGUUAAACAAGAUUUAGUGCCUGCCACACAAUUAAGAAAGAAUUAGAGGCAAGAAUGUUUACAGAACAGAGGAGAUUAUUUGUAC